CAUCUAGGCUCCAGGCUUGACCCUAAGGAAUCUGAACCACCUUGGGCUGGAGGAUUCCCCAGCGAGGGCCCUCGCGUGCAAUUUUUGGGACUUUUGGGUUCAGCAGAACUUGAGACACCUCGCCACGUGUGUGAUCACGUCUUUGUCUUUAAGCUGGUGGCUCUGAAUUCGCUUUGGAAGGAGAGUUUUGGAAAAUGGGGAACUGUGUGAAUUAAGACGGACAUGGAUAUAGUCUUUCAAGGUAUGAAAUUUGUGCUGACUUGGUCCAAAACACAACCGCAUCUGGUUAUGUCUGGUCUCGACUGCUCCAAAAAUGUCCUAAAUUCCAGACAACCUCUGGGGCUUAGAAAUAAAAGUCAUUAAUCCUGCAUUUGAAUUUAAUAUUUGAAAUUUUAUCCUAAUCUUUUUUUUUUUCUUCCACAUGAAUUAACUUUUGAAAAGUUGGAAAGAAACAUGAGGUGUUUUUUUUUUUUUUUAGGGAACAUUCUUAACAAAAGGGUAUAAAAUUCAACUGGGUUUGACCUUUUGAGUUUAGCAGAUUUUCCACCUGGUCUGAGCUGGAGGAAAUGGGCUUCGCAGCGGGAAGGCUGCUUCUCCGGCUGUGGAAAGCGCUCCUGCGUCCGUUCUCGAGGCGGUGCGCUUCUUGGCUGAGCCAUGCUGUGGGUUCCUCGCUGACGGUUAAUUGAGAAGUGCUGAGCUGGAGCGUCUGGGUGGAUAGCCCAUUCAGAGCACAGUUCCAGCCAGCCUGGGGUCAGAAAUAUUUGAGCCCCCCUCUCCCCACCAAAAAAUGCACAUAACUCUGCAGGAAUCUCACACGUGGGUGGACACAUCUAUCUUGAGUUUCAUCCACUCGGGGCCAACUUCUUUCUGGCACGAAGGGUGCAAGCUUGGAGCACAGACCCAGCCACCGGAUAUUUCAAAUGAUUUGAUGCUGGGGCCUCCUAUGGUCAGAAGAUGGGGAUCCUUCAAUUGGAGUCAUCGCCCAUCCGCUCACGAGGGUGUUGGGGAAUUCUGGCAGCCUGCCUUUGAAUCCUGGCUCCAUCACUGAGUGACAGACUUUGGGCAAAUCAUAGAACCUCUCUUAGCCUCAGUCCCCUCAGGUGUAAAAUGGGAAUAAAAUAACACCUUCCUCGGAAGGGCUUAAAUGA
rnacentral:lncRNA from 1 species